UUCUGUGGCUUGAGACUGCUAGUUAACAUUAAACGGGCAGGAAAAGGCUCUGACAGGACGGAUUCAUGCAGAUAGGCUACUAUGUGAAUUUGUGCAGUCUAGCUAAGGACUAACGUUAGAUGGAUAUACGGAAAUUCUUCAAGAGAGGCAAUGCCAGCAGCUCUGCCGAAGGCCAAUCCGAGCCUACAACACAAAAGACCUAUGCAAAACAAGGAAUUGUGAUCCAGCUGAGAGGUGGAGAGGGUAAGUUGGUCUGGAAAACAAGAC